UCGUCGGCCCCUCGCGCUCCCUCUCGUACAGCCUUCUGGGAAGUGUAGUCUUGGGGGGGCGCUGUUGCCUACCGAGCUUGCAGCCAGAGCCCCUCCAAAAUGCACAACUGCGGGGGGCGAAGAGACCGAAGGCCCGGGACCCCCUCUCUUAACCCUUGUGCACCCACUCUCUGUGCUACCAGCCCGCUCCCGCAAGCUCCCUGCACCCCCAGCCCCAGCCCUCUCUCUGCCCGAGAGCCCUUCUGAGCCGUGCCUCCGCCAGCUGGCUGGCGCCCCUUCCCGGGCUGGCGGUCAAGAAGCGACUUCGCUCCCCCGUAGAUCGAAUAGGGAAGAAGUUGAUAAAGCCGAAGAGCUGCAAAGACAUCAGAGAAGUUUGUGAGAAUGGAGCCGCAGGACCCGAAGGCGAAAAUAGCAAAGAGCUGAGGGAGAGGGAAGCCACUUUGAGAGUCGGAAGCCCUCAACCAGCCAAGUCCAGGAACAUUGGAUCCCCCAAGCAGGAGAUGAGUGAAAAUCCAAAAGGAUAUUUUACUGUCAUUUCUGGUGCUGGUUCCUGUGUACUUUCACAUUAGCUCAUCCUGGAGAGACUCAGGGCAAGUGAAACUCAAGCUCUGCUAGCACGGCAGCAAAAGCAAAUCAUGUCUCCCUUUGACGCUGUCCUUCGAAUGAAGGCUGAGUUCAGAGUCUAGCCUGGGCCCCUGGAUUUAGCACUGAGAGAAAGGCAUCACCCCCUCUCUGAGAAGGUUCUGCUCCUCAUAAUGGCUCCCUUGUUCUGGAUGGCAGUCACAUGGAGCCUUAACAUCAUUCUUAUAUGGCCACCACUGGUACUGAGACCUUAAUAUCAUUCUUAUAUGGCCACCACUCUAGUCCUGAAGGGAAGUGGGGGUGGGAGUAUAAAAGAGCUCAGUCAGCAGUCCAUCCAACUGCUCUUGAGGCAGUGAGGAGAAUGGAAAGUCCCCACUAGGUCCCAGAGUUUGCACUUGGGAGCGCCUUGCCUGGCCUGUAGCCCCAGUCAAGGUCUCAGAUAUCUGGAGAUAACCCUACAUGCACUAUUGCCACUGAAUUCCAGAUCUGAUGAUUCCCAUCCAAAGGAUGAUUCAGGAAUUGGUGACACAGCGCUAACUCCUAUCUCCAGUGAGUUAAAAGCCCUUUAGAACUCCAUCCUCUUCCGUAUUAACGGUAACUUAUUGCCUAGCUGAAUUCUGUGCUGAAAGCACAUAAAUUAAUUAAGUGAAAGCACAAAUGGUGUGUGGAUUGUCUAACUUAAAUCUCUUCUGUUAUAGUGCACUAAAUGCUUCCAACAAGUUGUCAUGAUUUGAAAGACUGACCUGUCCACAUUCCUGACUUACACUCAGGACGCCUUGGGCACUGGUAAGGACAGAGAACAUACCUAUAUCUCCAAGUACCAGUCAGGCAAGGAGAUGGUAUUUCCCCUGGACCAUUACAGAGGUAAACUGAGGCCACAGGCAAGUGAUUUCUUCAAGGUCACAGGGUGAGUCUAAUGGAGGGCAAUAUUCUAGCAUACCAACCCGUUUAGAACAGAAGGGGACCCUAGGAAUGGUGUGACUAACAGUUAACU